rnacentral:rRNA from 1 species
UACGUAGGGCGCGAGCGUUGUCCGGAUUUAUUGGGCGUAAAGAGCUCGUAGGCGGCUUGUCGCGUCGAAUGUGAAAACCUGCAGCUCAACUGCAGGCUUGCAUUCGAUACGGGCAGGCUCGAGUUCGGUAGGGGAGACUGGAAUUCCUGGUGUAGCGGUGAAAAUGCGCAGAUAUCAGGAGGAACACCGGUGGCGAAGGCGGGGUCUCUGGGGCCGAUACUGACGCUGGAGGGAGC